rnacentral:rRNA from 1 species
CCCCAGGUCAGGCGGGACUACCCGCUGAGUUUAAGCAUAUAAAUAAGCGGAGGAGAAGAAACUUACGAGGAUUCCCCUAGUAACAGUGAGCGAACUGGGAGACGCCCAGCUUGAGAAUCAGGCGGCCGCAUCGUCUGAAUUGUAGUCUGGAGAGACGUCCUCAUUGACGGACUGAGCCAAGUCCCUGGAAAGGGGCACCUGGGAGGGUGAGAGCCUCAUCUGGCUUGGGCCCCAAUUGCCCACGAGGUGCUGUCAAGGAGUCGGGUUGUUUGGGAAUGCAGCCCAAAAUGGGCGGUAAACUCCGCCAAGGAUAAAUAUAGGCAAGGGACCGAUAGCGAACAAGUACCGUGAGGGAAAGGUGAAAAGGACAUUGAAAAGAGAGUCAAAGAGUGCUUGAAAUUGCCAGGAGGGAAGCAGAUGGGGGCCGGCAAUGUGCCCCAGCCUUAUGCGGAACGGCUUAGGUUAGUCCACCGUUUGCCUCGGGGCAUGGACCGUUGUCAGCCGUGCUGGCAGCCAAUGGCCCCCGCACCAUGCCCCGGCAGCCAUCGUCGGUGCAACCAGUAACCGCGUGCCUCUGGCACACCCCUUGGGGCACCGCGCCACAAUGGCCUGUAGGCUCCCCAUCCGACUCGUCUUGAAACACAGACCAAGGAGUCUGACUUGCGUGUGAGGCGACGGGUUUUGAAACCUAGGAUGCGCAAGGAAGCUGACGAGUGGGAGGCCUCGAUGGGCCACACCGCUUGCUGACCUUGAUCUUCUGUGAAGGGUUCUAGUUGGAGCAUGCCUGUUAGGACCCAAAAGAUGGUGAACUAUGCUUGAGUGGGCCGAAGCCAGAGAAAACUCUAGUGGAGGCUUGAAGCGAUACUGACGUUCAAAUCAUUCAUCUGACUUAGGUAUACGGGCAAAAGACUAAUCGUACCAUCUAGUAGUUGGUUUCCUCCGAAGUUUCCCUC